rnacentral:lncRNA from 1 species
UUCCGAUUAUUUAUAUUUUAGGAGAAUGAAUCACCAAAAAAGGCGCGGGAGGUAAAUAUUACACCCGUUAAGAAAAUCAUACCGAUGCCUUCACAAACAAAACAAGUGAUUUUGCAAUCCAAAGAAGGCCCACAAAUUCUAGGAAUGCUAUAAGGGAUUCAUCAGAUUUUACAAUCCUUAGAUUCAAAAGUGACAGCGCAGAACCAAAAAAUCGAUGAUAAUGUUCAACGUUUAAAAGAUUUGGAACAAACGGUGAAGACAUUUCAGUUGACUGCUCCCAGUACGGUAUUUCAGAAGCCUGCUUUCAUCCCUUUUAAAAACUUCAAAGAACUAAAAAAAUAUGAUGUGUUCGGAGGAGGAACGAGAAAAAUUGAGAAAAUGGUUGGAUUCAUUCAACAGAAGAACCAAUGUUACCGAGAAUGUAAGGGAGAUUCUGCGAGGUAACCGGCUGAUGACAGAUGACCUUCUGACCGAUGUAGUAUGGGAAGGCCAGAAUGGCAGAAAAAGUUCUAAAAAACAAAUAUUCCGUUUACGAAUAACGUACGAUUUACGACACGCUCUUCAAAAUAUGUAUCCGGAGAUGACAGAUGA